rnacentral:rRNA from 1 species
UACGUAGGGUGCAAGCGUUGUCCGGAAUUAUUGGGCGUAAAGAGCUCGUAGGCGGUUUGUCGCGUCUGCCGUGAAAAGUCCGGGGGCUCAACUCCGGAUCUGCGGUGGGUACGGGCAGACUAGAGUGAUGUAGGGGAGACUGGAAUUCCUGGUGUAGCGGUGAAAUGCGCAGAUAUCAGGAGGAACACCGAUGGCGAAGGCAGGUCUCUGGGCAUUAACUGACGCUGAGGAGCGAAAGCAUGGGGAGCGAACAGG